UACAGAGGUCCCAAGCGUUGUUCGGAUUCAUUGGGCGUAAAGGGUGCGUAGGCGGCGCGGUAAGUCGGGUGUGAAAUCUCGGGGCUUAACUCCGAAACUGCAUUCGAUACUGCCGUGCUUGAGGACUGGAGAGGAGACUGGAAUUUACGGUGUAGCGGUGAAAUGCGCAGAUAUCAGGAGGAACACCGGUGGCGAAGGCGGGUCUCUGGGCCGAUACUGACGCUGAGGAGCGAAAGCAUGGGUAGCGAACAGG
rnacentral:rRNA from 1 species